AUCUUAGUGAAGAUGGAGUCAGCUUCGGCUCUCUUUAGCUAAUCUGAGAUGGAGUUAAUCUGACACCCCUCAACAGCCAAUGAUGGCUCUGGCCAGUUCUGACCUUCAUAUUACAGCAUUCACAGGGCUUUGA